rnacentral:tRNA from 1 species
GGGCGCGUAGCUCAGCGGGAGAGCACUCCCUUCACACGGGAGGGGUCAGAGGUUCAAUCCCUCUCGCGCCCA